rnacentral:rRNA from 1 species
GAUGAACGCUGGCGGCGUGCCUAAUACAUGCAAGUCGAGCGGACCGGGGGCGGGUGAGUAACACGUAGCUAACCUCCGAUAAGGACGGGGUCACUUAGGGGAACCGGAGCUAAAUCGGAUCCUUAUUGGUGGAUCCGCGCUGCAUUGGCUAGUUGGUAAGGUAACGGCUUACCAAGGCAACGAUGCAUAGCCGACCUGAGAGGGUGAUCGGCCACACUGGAACUGAGACACGGUCCAGACUCCUACGGGAGGCAGCAGUAGGGAAUAUUCCGCAAUGGGCGAAAGCCUGACGGAGCAACGCCGCGUGAGUGAAGAAGGUCUUCGGAUCGUAAAACUCUGUUAGUAGGGAAGCGGUACCUAAUCAGAAAGCCACGGCUAACUACGUGCCAGCAGCCGCGGUAAUUC